UACAGAGGUGGCAAGCGUUGUUCGGAAUUACUGGGCGUAAAGGGCGCGUAGGCGGUCCUCUAAGUCUUGUGUGAAAUCCCUCGGCUCAACUGAGGAACUGCACGGGAUACUGGAAGACUUGAGUUCGGGAGAGGGAAGCGGAAUUCCAGGUGUAGCGGUGAAAUGCGUAGAUAUCCGGAGGAACACCGGUGGCGAAGGCGGCUUCCUGGACCGAUUACUGACGCUGAGGCGCGAAAGCUAGGGGAGCAAACGGG
rnacentral:rRNA from 1 species